rnacentral:ncRNA from 1 species
UGAAAAGCGAUGACGAGGAGAAGUAGUCAGACAAUUUGGUUUCAGAGAGCCGCCGUGAGCUGCGAGGCGGUACCGGUUCCUGAUGAAAGUCACCUCUGAGCAGCCCGUUGAAAUCGUUGGAGAGUAGGUGGGGACGGCCGACACCCGUUACCGUGUUUCCAUACUAAAACGCGGCCUGACGCCAGCGGGAGGUAGGGAGUGAGUGGUCUGCCGCCCGGCAGGCAAAAAGAGUGGUACCGCAGAGGAAGUAUAAGCCUUUGUCUCUUAG